UCCGACGCACAGACAACCCUUCGCAUUCACAGCAGACACGCAGUUGUUUUUGAGGUGACACAGAUUCUUAAAAAGAGUUCACCCAGUUUGCUGCAAUGAUGCACCCUUUAAUCAUCGGCAUUAUAGUCGUGAACACUUCUCUAACCGUCGUCUAUUGGGGCUGCAUGCUGAGCGAUUCCUUCAUCAAGUGGCAGAUGGCCUCAGAAGACAAGCCCAAGAAGUUGGUCAUGCCGGCCUGAGGGAGUCACAGUCGCUAUAGGCCUGACUGAAUGACUGGCAGGGUGGUUGUUGUUUUUGGUUAGGACUAGUGAGCAAUAGCAGCUUGUAGUGCUUUCUGUGGAGUCUGCUUUCAUAAUUGAUCUUUCUGUUUCACCUGGAUACUAACUUUGUACUGAACUGAAUGGAUCCUACAAGUGAAAGACAAAGGAGUCCUUCGUACAGAGCCGUCUGUGUACGACACACACCAAUUUGUCAAUGAAAAGAACUUAGGAGAUGUUUCACCUCUUUUGUUUACAAGACUGGAUUCUUGGCCCUAAACCAGUGGAGGAUGAUUCAGAGGAAGGGAGAGCGGAAAUAGAAGAGCACCGACUGAGCAUUUGCAGUAAGCUGAUGGAGAAAGACAGGUUGAAGAUGGAGAAGGAAAAAGACGGACUGCUGCCCGGUUUCCACCAGGGAGACGGAGACUGCCACCGUCCAUCCAUCCAUUCUCCACUGGGAAGCGACACCACUUCAUCAUACACUGGAGAAAAAAGAAUAUCUGCUCCUAGUAUGACCUUCGCCUGCCCCGUGACCUCUUAUGCCACUUCCUUUUGAGUUUUCUCUUUAGCAAUGCAGUAGUUCAGAUCACUUUUUCUCUCUCUCGCAUAUCUCAUUUCAGUGCAGUGAUCAGUGUUUUCUCUUGCUGUAGUGAUGCAUAAUGCUAUGGCAUUUUUGUUUUAUAUAAAACGCAUGUUGCCCAACAACACUUAUCGUUUGUCCGCAUUUUGCUAAGAAACAAAUGCUUGCUUUGAUUACUUAUUAAGAUGUAUGUAAACCCUAACCUGAAUGCAUUGCACUAUAUCAUUGUUUGCUGUCCAAACAUUUCUCAUUUCAAAUUGUAAAUCAUGUACCAUAUAAAGUUUCAAUAUAUUUUAAUAAUAUUGAUGUGAGCUGUAAAAAAGAAAAACAAUUUUAAUAACUUAAAUUUAAACCCAAAGUGUAUAUAUAUGUAUAUUUACAGUAUAUAUGUAUAACCUCAAUGAAAAUAUCAAGAAGGUUUUGUAAAAUUGCAUAUGAAUUGCCAUUUCUGUGAAUUUUCCUCACUGACCACUCAAACUGUCAUAACCUGCAUUUUCUCUUUACCUCACGCAUGUGGUUGUAAUGUGUGACAAGAAGAAACGUGUCAGUUGUGUCUGUUGGACUAAGAU